CCAUCAGGUCUUUCAAGAAUUCCAGAUUCUUUGGAACGUAAUGAUCAAGACGGCAUUGUUCUCUAGACGCACCUACAAAGAACAAGGGCGGUUAAAGGAAAACUUGAAGCUGAGCCAACAAUACAGAUAUUCAAAACAUUGCUGCUUACCAGAUGAAGGGUUAACUGAAACUGGAGUAAACCUGGGAACCAGUAGUAAACGGCUUAUGUAAACAGCUUGUAAACAGCUUACUUCGGCUCACAGCCAGCUACUCUAAAAUAACAUCUAUUUGACCAUUUAUUGUCAACAAACUAAGCUACAGCCUACUGACUGCAUUUAUAUCCUGAGGAGUCCUAUAGAAUUGCUCCAAAACUACAGAGACUUUGAUUUCCUUUGACUCCAAGCCAAGUUUGAGCCAAGUGAUUUGCACACUGAUAUAUUGAGUUUUACAGCAUAUUACAUGCAUUUGGAGAGACUGGAUGUACACAUACUGUGUCGCUAACAAACUUUAGUUGGAGUCUUGUAGAUAUAUGUCUGAUAUAUGUUUUAUAUUGAAAACUGCUCUGUGUAGCAUUUAAAUCUGGAUGAUUGGAGUCUAUAAAUAUUAUUAUUUGUAUUAUUAUUUGUAUUAUUGUUAACAUUAUUAUGUAUAUGAUGCCCUAAUAUACAUAUUGCCCAAUUUUCCAAUGUGCCUUCCCAGAUUAAUAGGAAAUCUCCAAUACCAAGUCCCAUAAGCACUUUAUUAGAAUUAAGAUCGCAUAUCGCACUCUGCACUUGCCCUAUAAGCCUUAUAUAUCACCUGUCACAUCAGCACUUUUAAUCGUGUACCCAUUACUCUGGCCUGGCCCAGUUUUAUUGUGUUUUAGCGUAUUGUUUAUUGCUUGUUGUUUAUACUGUUUUAAUUGUUUUUAAUUUGCCUUUUGUUUUGUAUUGUUAUAUUGUGUGUUGAGGCCUUGGCCUUUGUAAGCCGCAUCGAGUCCUUCGGGAGAUGGCAGCGGGGUACAAAUAAAGUUUAAUAAUAAUAAUAAUAAUAAUAAUAAUAAUAAUAAUAAUAAUAAUAUUGUGUUCUAUGGUUUGAACCUUUAUCGUGGUGCACAUUUUUCAGAUAUUGCCUAGAGCAGGGGUCCUCAAACUUUUAAAGCAAAGGGCCGGUCUACAAUCCUUCAGACUAUGGAGGGGCCGAAUUAUCAUUUGAAAAAAAAAUACAAACAAAUUCCUAUGCACACCGCACAUGUCUCAUUUGUAGUACAAAACAACAACAACAACAACAACAACAACAAUGAAAGAACAAUGCAAUAUUUAAAAAUGAAAACAAUCUUAACCAAUAUAAACCUAUCAGGAUUUCAAUGGAAAGUGUGGGCCUGCUACUGGCCAAUGAGAUAGUCAAGUUAAUUAGGAUUGUUGUUGUUGUUGUUGUUGUUGUUGUUGUUGUUGUUGUGUGCCUUCAAGUCAUUUCAGAAUUUGGGUGAGCCUAAGUCUAAAAUUAAUUAUUUAUUUACUUACUACAUUUAUUUACUACAUUUAUAUCCCACCCUUCUUACCCCGAAGGGGACUCAGAGCAGCUGUAUGUACAUACAAUAUAUUAUAUUAUUAGCAUAGCAAAAUAUUAGCAUUAUACAUUACUAUAUUGAACUAUACCACUAUACUGUAAUACUAUAUGUAAUAUAUAACAUAUAAUUAAUAUUAUUAUAUGGUAUUAUUAUUAGUAUUAUAUUGUAUAACAUUAUAAUAUUUUUAUCAAUAUUAUAUGUAUAUACAAUUUAUUAUAUUAUUAAAACUGAUAUAAAAUAUAUUAUAAAACUGAGGGCGGGGGCCAGGUAAAUGACCUUGGAGGGCCGCAUCCGGUCCCCGGGCCUUAGUUUGGGGACCCCUGGCCUAGAGUAUGAGUCAAGUUCUGUUGGAGAACAGAACAGUCCUGUGUUCACUGUCGUCUGCAAGUCUGUUUGUGUUGAUUACUGCAGCAUACAGUAAAACUUUGUAAAUAGUUUUA